ACUCCUCCUCUAGCUGAAAGAGAAGUUGGCCCAGGCAGUGGAGUUGAAAUUCAAAAUCCACCUGUACCAUAAGCUAGCCACAGCUCUCUCUCCUAGCCUGAGGAGUUUCUUGAGGAAAACGCUCUCCGGUCAGGAGUAUGAGGAGGUCAUCAACACCCUGGCAGCACUCACAGAAACAGCAGGGACAGAGGAGAGAGCGAGAAGCCUUGAGAAGAAACAGGGUCCACCCCGAGAGGCAGUUCCCAGUCCCACAGAGGUGCACGACUUCUUUUCCUUUUGUGUUGAAAAGCAGCAACAGGAGGGGGACAGUGGUGGUAUUUCAGAGUCAUGGGGCCGCCAGUUCGUGGUAGAGUACAUGAGUGACUCUAAGUUGACAGGCUUCCAGUCUCUGCUCAACUUCUGGCAUGAGAGGUCUGAUGGGCUAGUGCCAGUUGCCAAGAGGCUGCUAGCAAUCCCAGCAACAAGCACUCCUUCUGAGCGUAGUUUCAGUGUUGCUGGGAGACUGAUUGAGGAGAGGCGUUCCACCCUCAAUCCAGAAAAUGUAGAUGAACUUUUGUUCCUACAUAGCAAUUUAUAAUGACAACUAUUCAUAUGUGCUGAAGAGUGGAAAAGUAGACUGAUAUGCACGGUGGCUGACAGACACACAGCAAACAGUUAAAACGUGCUGCAAACACAGGAAUGAAUCAAAUUCCAAAACAAAAAAACA